GUAGGGGGCAAGCGUUAUCCGGAUUUACUGGGUGUAAAGGGAGUGUAGACGGUUUUGCAAGUCUGAAGUGAAAGCCCGGGGCUUAACCCCGGGACUGCUUUGGAAACUGUAGGACUAGAGUGCAGGAGAGGUAAGUGGAAUUUCUAGUGUAGCGGUGAAAUGCGUAGAUAUUAGGAGGAACACCAGUGGCGAAGGCGGCUUACUGGACUGUAACUGACGUUGAGGCUCGAAAGCGUGGGGGGCAAACAGGAUUAGAUACCCUGGUAGUCCACGCCGUAAACGAUGAUUACUAGGUGUUGGUGGGUAUGACCCAUCGGUGCCGCAGCAAACGCAAUAAGUAAUCCACCUGGGGAGUACGUUCGCAAGAAUG
rnacentral:rRNA from 1 species